rnacentral:lncRNA from 10 species
ACGCUAGGGGCCUGGCAGGGGGCAGCAAGAGACCGCGAUGGCCUAUAUACAUAUACCCAUAGAGUAUAUUGAAUAUUUUUAUUCAACCCUAUGAGGCAGGUAUCAUAGUUUUGCAGAUGAAACUGAGGCUCAGAUGAAUUAAGUGACUGUGUGUCUUCGUCCAUUUUUGUGUUGCUAUAAAGGAUUACCUGAAGCUGAGUAAUUUAUAAAGAAAAGAAGUUCAAUUGGCUCACAGUUCUGCAGGCUGUACAGGAAGCAUGGCACUGACAUCUUCUCAGCUUCUGGUGAGGGCCUCAGGAAGUUUACAAUCAUGGUGGAAGGCAAAGGGGGAGCAAGCGUCUCAUGUGGCAAGAGGGAACAAACAGGAGACAGGAGGUGCCACACACUUUUAAACAACAGGAUCUCACAAGAGCUUACUCUUACAAGGACAGCACCAAGAAUAUGAGGAAUCUGCCCGCAUGACCCAAACACUUCCCUCCAGGCCCCACCUCCAACACUGGGGAUUACAUCUCAACACUGGAUUUGGAGGGGACAUCCAAACUAUAUCAAGGCUGUACAAGAAGCUUGGUGCCAGCAUUUGCUUCUACGCAGAGCCUCAGGCUGCUUCUACUCACAGUAAAAGGCAAAAGGGCAUGCAAAGAUCAUGUGGCAAGAGAAGAAGUGAGGGAUGGGGGAUGCCAUGCUCUUUUUAACAACCAGCUCUCAUGGGAACCAAGAGGGACAACUCACUCAUUAUAGCACCAAGCCUGUAUCCCUCCCAUUAUGCCCUACCUCCAACAUCGAGGAUCAAAUUUCAACAUGAGGUUUGGAGGCUCAAAUAUCCAAACAAUGGCAUUAUGUCAGGAUCAUAAAGCUAAUGUUUGUGAAACCAGGAUCUGAACCCAAGCUAUUGCUUCUAGAACCUGUACUCUUAAGCCCUUGCUUAUACUGCAUUUGAAAUUAUGCUUCAUUGUAUAAAAAGUCCUUUUCACCUCAAGCUUAUAGAGAAGUCACCUUGUUCUUAAAAAGUCCUUUACACUUCAAGUUCAUAAAGCUCAGGCACAUAUAUUUUCUUCCAGUACGUUCAUUAUUAUUUUUCUUGGUUUUCCUUUAAAUCUUUGAAUCAUCUGGAUUUUAUUUUGGAAUGAGAAAUGAAGUAGAAAUUUAUUUUUGUUUCUUUUCAGAAUGGCUGGUCAAUUGUCCUAACAUCAUUUAAUGAAUAGUAUUUAUUUCCCCUUUGCUUUGAAAUACUACUUUAUCAUAUACUAAAUUAUAAAGUAAUCUUUUAUUAUCAUUUUUGAAUGACUGCAUUCCAGUUGUGGAAGAUAUUACUCAAAGUCUGUUGUGAUUAUCUAACUUAAGUGUUGAUAUGAAGAAAGGAAAGUAGGUUUCAGCCUGAUUUAAGAAUUUUCCUCCUCUCCCUCUCCCUCUCCCUCUCCCUCUCCCUCCCCCUCCCCCUGCCCCUCCCUGUCUCCCUCUCUCUCUCCCUCUCUUUCUACGUCUCCCUCUCUUGCCGAGCCUGGACUGUACUGCCAUGAUCUCGGCUCACUGCAACCUCUCUGCCUCAGGCUCCCAUGAUUCUCCUGCCUCGGCCUGCUGAGUGCCUGGGAUUCCAGGCACGCACCACCACUUCUGACUGAUUUUUGUAUUUUUGGUGGAGACGGGGUUUCACUG